AAUAUUGGACAAUGGGGGGAACCCUGAUCCAGCCAUGCCGCGUGUGUGAAGAAGGUCUUCUGAUUGUAAAGCACUUUAAGUUGGUAGGAAGGGUUGUAGGUUAAUACCCUGCAAUUUUGACGUUACCAACAGUAUACGCACCGGCUAACUCUGUGCCAGCAGCCGCGGUAAUACAGAGGGUGCAAGCGUUAAUCGGAAUUACUGGGCGUAAAGCGCGCGUAGGUGGUUCGUUAAGUUGGAAGUGAAAGCCCCGGGCUUAACCUGGGAAUUGCUUUCAAAACUGACGAGCUAGAGUACGGUAGAGGGUAGUGGAAUUUCCUGUGUAGCGGUGAAAUGCGUAGAUAUAGGAAGGAACAUCAGUGGCGAAGGCGACUACCUGGACUGAUACUGACACUGAGGUGCGAAAGCGUGGGGAGCAAACAGG
rnacentral:rRNA from 1 species